UAACGAAAAAAAGGGAGAGAUACCCUUUCGCCGUAAGACUAAGGGUUCCUUGUUCGAUGCUAAUCAGAACAGGGUUAGCCGGGACCUAAGGAGAAGCCGAUAGGCGAAUCUAAUGGAAAGCGGGUUAAAAUUCCUGCGCCUGCGUACACUAAAAAGGGGACGGAGGUAUGUAGUGUCUAGGUACUGACGGAAAAGUGCGUUGAGAGGAAGCUUAGGCGGACUCGAAGACAUGAGUUACCUUCCAAGAAAAGCCGAAGUACGCAGCCCGUACCGCAAACCGACACAGGUAGUCGAGGAGAGUAUCCUAAGGCGCUCGAGUGAUCCACGGUUAAGGAACUAGGCAAAUUAGCCCCGUAACUUCGGGAGAAGGGGCUCCCACCGCGAGGUGGGACGCAGUGAAGAGGCCCAGGCGACUGUUUAACAAAAACACAGGACUCUGCGAAAUCGAAAGAUGAAGUAUAGGGUCUGACACCUGCCCGGUGCCGGAAGGUUAAGGAAGGGAGUUAGCUUCGGCGACGCUCUUGACUGAAGCCCCGGUAAACGGCGCCGUAACUAUAACGGUCCUAAGGUAGCGAAAUUCCUUGUCGGGUAAGUUCCGACCUGCACGAAUGGUGUAACGAUCUGGGCACUGUCUCAACCGUGAGCUCGGUGAAAUUGAAGUAUCGGUGAAGAUACCGGUUACCCGCAACGGGACGGAAAGACCCCGUGAACCUUUACUAUAGCUUCACAUUGGUCUUGAGUAUAGGAUGUGUAGGAUAGGUGGGAGGCGAUGAAGUUGCGACGCUAGUUGUGGUGGAGCCGUCCUUGAAAUACCACCCUUCUUGUACUUAGGUUCUAAUCCCGAUUUAUCGGGAGACAGUGUGUGGUGGGUAGUUUGACUGGGGUGGUCGCCUCCGAAAGAGUAACGGAGGCUUGCAAAGGUACCCUCAGCAUGGUUGGUAACCAUGCGAAGAGCGCAUGAGUAUAAGGGUGCUUGACUGCGAGACGGACGCGUCGAACAGGGACGAAAGUCGGCUCAAGUGAUCCGGUGGUUCCGCAUGGAAGGGCCAUCGCUCAAAGGAUAAAAGGUACUCCGGGGAUAACAGGCUGAUCUCCCCCAAGAGCUCACAUCGACGGGGAGGUUUGGCACCUCGAUGUCGGCUCGUCGCAUCCUGGGGCUGGAGAAGGUCCCAAGGGUUGGGCUGUUCGCCCAUUAAAGCGGCACGCGAGCUGGGUUCAGAACGUCGCAAGACAGUUCGGUCCCUAUCUGUUGCGGGCGUUGGAGUAUUGAGGAGAUCUGACUCUAGUACGAGAGGACCGGGUUGGACGUACCGCUUGUGUACCAGUUGUACCGCCAGGUGCACCGCUGGGUAGCUAUGUACGGAAUGGAUAAGCACUGAAAGCAUCUAAGUGCGAAGCCAACUCCAAGAUGAGUACUCCUUGAGGGUUGUGGGAGAUGACCACGUUGAUAGGCUACAGGUGGAAGCGCAGUGAUGUGUGGAGCCGAGUAGUACUAAUUACCCGAAAGCUUCCU
rnacentral:rRNA from 1 species